ACACUCGUCCUUCGGGGCAAUGGAUACAGGUGGUGCAUGGUUGUCGUCAGCUCGUGCCGUGAGGUGUUGGGUUAAGUCCCGCAACGAGCGCAACCCUCAUUGUUAGUUACUACCAUUCAGUUGAGGACUCUAAUGAGACUGCCAACGACAAAGUUUGGAGGAAGUGGGGAUGACGUCAAAUCAUCAUGCCCCUUAUGUUCUGGGCUACACACGUGCUACAAUGGCCGGUACAGACGGACGCAAAGCCGCGAGGUGGAGCAAAUCCUAAAAAGCCGGUCUCAGUUCGGAUUGCAGGCUGCAAUUCGCCUGCAUGAAGUCGGAAUCGCUAGUAAUCGCAGGUCAGCAUACUGCGGUGAAUACGUUCCCGGGCCUU
rnacentral:rRNA from 1 species